rnacentral:lncRNA from 10 species
GCAGCAGGUGCCAGAAUUGCCUUCAAGACUGGAUUGUGUUCCAUGUGCCGAGAGAGGUUUCUGUAGGCUGAAGAUCCAGCCCACAUUUUUAAAAAGUCAGGGGGAAGUAUGUAAUGAUGUUUGUGACAAAAAAUAAAUGUGAUCAACUGGUAAAAACAGCCUGAUGUUGUGUCUUCAGUGAAUGUUCCCACUAGCCAGGCUGAGCUUAAGGUGUAUGGUCAACUAAACAAUCCAAAAACCAUGUAGCUCCACAAUAAUCAGAAAUUCUGGAUCCAGUAAAACAAGUCUCCUUUAAGACAUGGCUGAAUGCUGGAAGAAAGUAAAGAAAGUUCCUGGAGUCAAAGAUGAAGUGAGAAGGAAAAAUCAGAGCAGUGAGCCACAGACUGGUACAGGUCCGCAACCAUGGGGACCCCUGCAAACUGGAGAUCUUCUCUACCACCACCCUCACACACCCAACCACCCGUAGGUUGGGAGCCCCUGAAAUUCUUGAACUGUCAUGCCAUCCUAUUGACCACACUUGAUUGAAUCAGAAAUAAUCAACCAAGCUGAGUUACUUGGACACUUUCUCCUGGGAAUUUGGAAGCAGA